GGGCAUAUAGCUCAGUAGUACAGCACUUGCCUAGCAUGUGUGCAAGGCCCUGGGUUCAAUCCCCAGCAAUCCCA
rnacentral:tRNA from 1 species